AGUUAGUGGCGAACGGGUGAGUAAUAUAUCGGAACGUACCUUGUAAUGGGGGAUAACUAGUCGAAAGAUUAGCUAAUACCGCAUACGCCCUGAGGGGGAAAGUAGGGGAUCUUCGGACCUUACGUUAUAAGAGCGGCCGAUAUCUGAUUAGCUAGUUGGUGGGGUAAUGGCCUACCAAGGCGACGAUCAGUAGCUGGUCUGAGAGGACGACCAGCCACACUGGAACUGAGACACGGUCCAG
rnacentral:rRNA from 1 species